GAUGUAAACGACGUGAAAUUAGACGGCUGUCCCGACGUCCAUACUUAACAUUGGCUGCGCCAUCUUUUUGGUGGUCUAUCUAGAGCUUUGAUUCCUCCCGGAAGAGAGGAAGAGAGAGGUGCCAAAAUAUCUAGAGCUUUGAUUCCUCCCGGAAGAGAGGAAGAGAGAGGUGCCAAAAUAUCUAGAGCUUUGAUUCCUCCCGGAAGAGAGGAAGAGAGAGGUGCCAAAAUAUCUAGAGCUUUGAUUCCUCUCGGAAGAGGGAGGUGCCAAAAUAUCUAGAGCUUUGAUUCCUCUUGGAAGAGGGAGGUGCCAAAAUAUCUAGAGCUUUGAUUCCUCUCGGAAGAGGGAGGUGCCAAACUAUCCAGGGCUUUGAUUCCUCCUGGAAGAGAGAGGUGCCAAAAUAUCUAGAGCUUUGAUUCCUCUCGGAAGAGGGAGGUGCCAAACUAUCUAGAGCUUUGAUUCCUCCCAGAAAGAAAGAGUUGCCAAAACUAUAUACUGCAGAAGUCCACUUGCAAAAAACCCUGGAUGAUCGCCAAUGAAUGCAUACCCUAUGAUAUGUCACUAUUACCAGUUAGUGAUGAUGGUAAUGAUCAGAUAUUCACAGUGAACCUACAUACAGUACCCCUCGACCCAAAGACACUAAAGUGCUCUAUAGCUGUAUUCUUAUUCUUCUUCAGUGCCCCUGUCUAACACUAAUACCCAAGGGAUGGGCUUUAUAUUUGCUAAAUAGACACUAUGCUUUGGAUUUAUACAUCUGUGCUACUUAAAACUGGGCGUAUGUACCAUUGAUGCCAAAGCAGCAGCUUGAAUCUCUCCUGGUCUUAUACACCACUGCCCCUAUAAAAAUAAAAAGCCAGCUGCCCCUAUUAUUAUAUGUAUAUAAAUAAACUCAGAAGAAAAACUGUGUGCAAUGGCUGACAGUGGAAUGUUAUAUUAUGUGUACAUAGCAGUAUGUGUUACUGAAAACAGUAUAAAUAUUUACACUCACAAAUGUUGGAAAAACUUCAAAAACACAAUGUUCAGCAAUAAACAAGCCACAAGAAUA